UUUGGAUAAAUGAUGAACAACACAAAUCAAAUGGGUAAAUUGUAUCUUACACUUUUUCAGUGACGUUAGCAUAUCUUAGAGAUAUAAUACCCUGU